rnacentral:rRNA from 1 species
UACGUAGGGGGCAAGCGUUGUCCGGAAUCAUUGGGCGUAAAGCGCGCGUAGGUGGCCCCAUAAGUCCGCUGUGAAAGUCAAAGGCUCAACCUUUGAAAGCCGGUGGAUACUGUGGGACUAGAGUACGGAAGAGGCGAGUGGAAUUCCUGGUGUAGCGGUGGAAUGCGCAGAUAUCAGGAGGAACACCAAUAGCGAAGGCAGCUCGCUGGGACGUUACUGACACUGAGGCGCGAAAGCGUGGGGAGCGAACAGG